ensembl:lncRNA
CCUGUGUAAGAGAGGUAGCACAUUAACAGUGUGUUUCAGUAUCUUAAAUGGUACCUAGUGCAAAGAAUUGCUACCACGCCCUGAAUGACUGACUGCCUCAGCCUUUGAGAGUCUUAAGAGAAGCAAGAGAAUAAAGAAAGAUCCCCAGCCAAGAACUCAAAGCCCCCGGGUUCUAGAUUACUAUGGCUGCCUGCAUGCUGUAUGCCACUCAUCUCUGGAGUGAAUUGCCCUCUCUGGGGCUCCCUCAUCAAAUGAAAGAGGACAGAGCAGCCCCACCCCAGCUGCCUCCUGUCAGCUCACAGCCUGAAACAACAGAAUCAACUCUGAACUCAUGUCACAAACAAGAAGCCACAGCCUGAGAAAAACAAGUCUGUCUGCUGGAAAGAGCGAAGCAUUUCUCCACAGCCUGCUCAUCCUCAUUAACACAGUCAUGGCUCUGAAAGGAAUUCGUCUCCCACAGGAGGAGUUAGCAAACAGAGUCAUAAACUUGGAAUCCACCGGCCCACCACAGGUCAGAGGAUUUUUGAAGAAGCCCUUAACUCCUGUGAGCCACAAAUCUAAUCUCUGAAACAGUCAGCUUUGAAAUGUGACUAGCCCCGGCUGGGAUCCUGCUCUGCUCUUUGCAGACGCAAGCAUUCUUGGCACGGUGCUUGUGUCAUAUAGACUUUAAAUCAAACCCUGUGCACAGAUGAGAUAGAAGGAUAUGCCCAAGAUCAUUCCUGCAGCUCAAAAUAAAGUUACACAAAAGCAUUUGGAUUCUCUUUGU